rnacentral:rRNA from 1 species
AUUGAACGCUGGCGGCAUGCCUAACACAUGCAAGUCGAACGGCAGCACAGCAUGUAGCAAUACAUGUGGGUGGCGAGUGGCGGACGGGUGAGUAACGCGUGGGAAUCUGCCCUAUAGUGGGGGACAACCCGACGAAAGUCGGGCUAAUACCGCAUACGCCCUACGGGGAAAGGCUUCGGCCGCUAUUGGAUGAGCCCGCGUCGGAUUAGCUAGUUGGUGAGGUAAUGGCUCACCAAGGCGACGAUCCGUAGCUGGUCUGAGAGGACGAUCAGCCACACUGGGACUGAGACACGGCCCAGACUCCUACGGGAGGCAGCAGUGGGGAAUAUUGCACAAUGGGCGAAAGCCUGAUGCAGCAAUGCCGCGUGUGUGAAGAAGGCCUGCGGGUUGUAAAGCACUUUCGGUAGGGAAGAUUAUGACGGUACCUACAGAAGAAGCACCGGCUAACUCCGUGCCAGCAGCCGCGGUAAU